CCUACGGGAGGCAGCAGUGGGGAAUUUUGGACAAUGGGCGAAAGCCUGAUCCAGCCAUGCCGCGUGAAGUGAAGAAGGCCUUCGGGUUGUAAAGCUCUUUUAGUCGGAAAGAAAGAGUUGCAAUGAAUAAUUGUGAUUUAUGACGGGUACCGGACAGAAAAAGCACCGGCUAACUACGUGCCAGCAGCCGCGGUAAUACGUAGGGUGCGAGCGUUAAUCGGAAUUACUGGGCGUAAAGGGUGCGCAGGCGGUCUUGCAAGUCAGAUGUGAAAGCCCCGGGCUUAACCUGGGAAUUGCGUUUGAAACUACAAGGCUAGAGUGCAGCAGAGGGGAGUGGAAUUCCAUGUGUAGCAGUGAAAUGCGUAGAGAUGUGGAAGAACACCGAUGGCGAAGGCAGCUCCCUGGGUCGACACUGACGCUCAUGCACGAAAGCGUGGGGAGCAAACAGGAUUAGAUACCCUGGUAGUCCACGCCCUAAACGAUGUCAACUAGUUGUCGGAUCUAAUUAAGGAUUUGGUAACGUAGCUAACGCGUGAAGUUGACCGCCUGGGGAGUACGGUCGCAAGAUUAAAACUCAAAGGAA
rnacentral:rRNA from 1 species